AACGAACGCUGGCGGCAUGCCUAACACAUGCAAGUCGAACGAGACCUUCGGGUCUAGUGGCGCACGGGUGCGUAACGCGUGGGAACCUGCCCUUAGGUUCGGAAUAACUCCCCGAAAGGGGUGCUAAUACCGGAUAAUGUCUUCGGACCAAAGAUUUAUCGCCUUUGGAUGGGCCCGCGUUGGAUUAGCUAGUUGGUAGGGUAAAAGCCUACCAAGGCGACGAUCCAUAGCUGGUCUGAGAGGAGGAUCAGCCACACUGGGACUGAGACACGGCCCAGACUCGUACGGGAGGGAGCAGUGGGGAAUAUUGGACAAUGGGCGAAAGCCUGAUCCAGCAAUGCCGCGUGAGUGAUGAAGGCCUUAGGGUUGUAAAGCUCUUUUAGCCGGGAUGAUAAUGACAGUACCGGGAGAAUAAGCUCCGGCUAACUCCGUG
rnacentral:rRNA from 1 species